CAGAGGUCUCAAGCGUUGUUCGGAAUCACUGGGCGUAAAGGGUGCGUAGGCCGCACGGUAAGUCAGAGGUGAAAUCCCGGAGCUCAACUCCGGAAUUGCCUCCGAUACUGCCGUGCUUGAGGACUGGAGAGGAGUCUGGAAUUCACAGUGGAGCAGUGAAAUGCGUAGAUAUUGUGAGGAACACUAGUGGCGAAGGCGAGACUCUGGACAGUUCCUGACGCUGAGGCACGAAGGCCAGGGGAGCAAACGGGAUUAGAUACCCCGGUAGUCCUGGCAGUAAACGGUGCACGCUUGGUGUGGCAGGAUUCGACCCCUGCCGUGCCGGAGCUAACGCGUUAAGCGUGCCGCCUGGGAAGUACGGUCGCAAGAUUA
rnacentral:rRNA from 1 species